GCAGUAUUUCUCACUCUUCAGUCCUCUCUUCAUGACAGUAGACUUGUUUUGUCAUUGGAGCCCCAGUUAGAGACAGAUAUGAUACCUGCAGUGAUAUUGAUGAUCCUGUUCUGGAGCCCAGAUCUCCAGGCUCAAAGCGUCAGUCCACCAGCUGAACUCUCAGUCAGACUGGUGAAUGGGACCACUUCCUGUUCUGGGACAGUGGAAGUCUUCUACAGAGGAGAGUGGUUGGGUCUAUGUACUAGUGGGUUGUGGAGCAUAAUGGGAGAGACGUGGUUGUGGGACAUGAGAGAGACCAAGGUUGUGUGUAGAGAGCUGAAUUGUGGGAAUCCUGUAUCUGUAUCUAGAGGACCUCUGAUUGAAGAUGGAAGAAGAGGAGUCACACUAUAUAGGUGUAGUGGAGAUGAGUCUUCUAUUGGACAGUGUGACAUCACAGGAGGACCUGGUUUCUGUGAUGGUGGAUAUUAUCAUCAUGUGACCUGUUCAGAGUCUGUGCGGCUUGUGGAUGGAGCUGGUCUCUGCUCUGGGAGAGUGGAGGUGAAGUCCAAUCAGUCCUGGGCCUCAGUGUGUGAAGCUGACUUUGACCGGCAGGAUGCAGAGGUAGUCUGUAGGGAUGUUGGCUGUGGGGCUCCUGCAGCUCUAC